AGCUUUACUGUAGCCUGAUAUUGAAAUUCGGCACAGCUUGUACAGGAUAGGUAGGAGCCUUUGAAACGUGAGCGCUAGCUUACGUGGAGGCGCUGGUGGGAUACUACCCUAGCUGUGUUGGCUUUCUAACCCGCACCACUUAUCGUGGUGGGAGACAGUGUCAGGCGGGCAGUUUGACUGGGGCGGUCGCCUCCUAAAAGGUAACGGAGGCGCUCAAAGGUUCCCUCAGAAUGGUUGGAAAUCAUUCAUAGAGUGUAAAGGCAUA
rnacentral:rRNA from 1 species